AGAUGCGGCGCGUUUUAAAGAGCGUCAUCUAAUUCGAUUGCUUAACUUGAGAAGGGAAAGGGACAGAGGGGCU
rnacentral:tRNA from 1 species